rnacentral:rRNA from 1 species
AACGAAAAUUUCUAUCCUUAUCGGUGGAUCACUCGGCUCGUGGAUCCAUGAAGAACGCAGCUAACUGCGAUAAUUUGUGCGAACUGCAGAAACAUUGAGCAUAAAAGUUUUGAAUGCAAAUUGCGGCACCGGGGUAGAACCCUUUGCCACGUCUGGUUCAGGGUCAUUUU